rnacentral:tRNA from 1 species
GCCGGAAUAGCUCAGUAGGGAGAGCGUUAGACUGAAGUUGUUUACGCAUCUAAAGGUCUUCCCGGUUCAAUCCCGGGUUCCGGCA